CACCUCCAUUAAACAAAUCACGUGAAAACCCUUGGGGAACUCUAGUAGAUAGAAACGCUCCAUCAUUAUCCCUUGGAAAACAUCAAUUUUCCAUUCAUCCCACGCUCUUAAAGUAGAAUCCAUUCAUUUCCUUCUGCAACUUUCCAUUUCCUGCGCACCAAACUCAUUAAGCCAUUCUAGAAUUAUAAUCCAUCAACUUCAUCCUCUUCUUCAACACCUCUCACAAGACUGUCCCGAGCCUCUAGAGUCACUAUCACCAUCAGAUCUCGCCGUCUAAGAUUCAUAAUUUCGUCCCUUAUCCAUCCUUCUUGGGAAAGAGCAUGAAUAAAUCCAUUUGUUGAUCAAGGAACGAAGUUAAGGAGUCACCUUCAAUAACCACUUCUCUGAAACCCAUCUCCACCCCCAACUUGAGAGCUGAAGGCAUGCAAGGGCUUCAACCACGAAAACAGACAGUGCAUACUCAUUUAAAAUGACCCUUGUACCUAUUAUUCUAGAUCUGUCGUCUUUAAUAACUAACCCUGAAUAUGGUUUUGCGACGUAAGCCUUAAAAGCCGCAUCAAAAUUAAUUUUCAGGAAA